rnacentral:rRNA from 1 species
GACGAACGCUGGCGGCGCGCCUAACACAUGCAAGUCGAACGGAGUCAAGAGGAGCUUGCUUUUCUUGACUUAGUGGUGAACGGGUGAGUAACGCGUGAGUAACCUGCCCUGGAGUGGGGGACAACAGUUGGAAACGACUGCUAAUACCGCAUAAGCCCACGGAUCCGCAUGGAUCUGCGGGAAAAGGAUUUAUUCGCUUCAGGAUGGACUCGCGUCCAAUUAGCUAGUUGGUGAGGUAACGGCCCACCAAGGCGACGAUUGGUAGCCGGACUGAGAGGUUGAGCGGCCACAUUGGGACUGAGACACGGCCCAGACUCCUACGGGAGGCAGCAGUGGGGGAUAUUGCACAAUGGGGGAAACCCUGAUGCAGCGACGCCGCGUGGAGGAAGAAGGUUUUCGGAUUGUAAACUCCUGUCGUUAGGGACGAUAAUGACGGUACCUAACAAGAAAGCACCGGCUAACUACGU